rnacentral:lncRNA from 10 species
GCUGGGGCCUCGGGCGGGGUGCACCGCUGUCCUUUCGCCGCCGUCCGGGCGGCACUGCACGUGCAGCGCGCGGUCCCCCACCCAGCGCAGCCCGCAACACCCCUGGUCUGCCGCAGGAGACCCUGCCGAUGCCACUCAGGGUCAAGACUCUGGCGCGGUGGAAACUGCAGAGCAAAAGGAAACACAGACAAAAACAGUGAGAAGGAGAGAGAGCAUGUGGGGCUUUGCCAGAGAGGAACUUGGAUGGCAAUCACCUAAGAACUCCAAACUCAGUGCCAGGGCAGACUGGUGUCUAUUUUGCAAUGUCUUCCAGUAGUUGAUAACUUUCUACUUUUAAAAUAAUUGGAAGAAUGUAAGCUCUCAACUAGUCCACUAGUCCCGAAACAAUAGAUACCAGCUGGCAGAGAUAAUAGCUGUCUGGAAGAGAGAGAUACAUACCACAUCAAAAAACAACAAAAAAAGGAUGGCUCAAGUACUCAAAAGGCAGCACUAAAAUAAGGCUAUGUCUCUUCCUGAGAAUACUCUGGACUUCAUUCUCUGAUUAAAGAUCACAACUGCUUCUUCGUUGAGGAAAUCAUGUAUUUCAAAGCCACCAAUGAACAAGGUUUGCAUUUGUGUUCAUUUAAGAAAAGAAAAAAACCCUGAGCAAACCUUUCUCUGUGCAUUAAGCCUUCUGACCUUUAUUGAAAUAACAAAACAGUUAUUCAAAGGACACGAGGAUGAAUUAAAGAAUGACAAUCCAUGAAUUACACAGUAAACAAAUACUAUAUGUAUGAGACCGAUUCACUGUCACAAACCUGGAGAAGAAAACCCUUUUGAGGUUUAAAGCUGAGAGGGAGAUAAAAACUUGGUUGUACUACUUCUGGGAAAUGCUGAAGUUAUCCACGUGAUUUUCCAGUCACUGAUUAUUUUAGCAAAGUAACACAAACAGAGGAGGAGCUCUGGACUCUAGCUUCUCAUUUCUAAAAGAACAGAUGUAAUGGGAUGUAUUGGUCCAGCACUGAUAACAGGUUAUCCUACAAUCAAGUAUACUCUUUCCAGAAAGCUGAGUUAGGUAUGCAACUGCCUUUCUAAGCCAUGACUACAUUGCUAAAUGAAUCAUUGAUUUGGAAAAUCUGAAGUGACCUUCAGCUUGUUCUCCAGCUCUUCCUCAACAGAAAAGAGAGGCAAAAUCAGCAAAAUAUUGGAAAGAGGUAGUUUUUCUAAAGGUAUUUGUGGCAGGUAGAAGAUUGGAGGCCACUCAGCUAUGUGUGUAAGUGUGUGCAGGGAGAAAUUAGGUUCUAUAUUCAGAAGUGACAUUCUUUGUAUUUUCAGUGUGGCUCUAAAAACAGAGCCUUUUUCUUAUAGUUCAGAGUCAGACACUGCCCUUGGCUUCUCAGCCAUUCUAGUAAACUAUUUGUUACUCAGAAAGCCUCAAAUUCUUCAUUGAAUUUAUUUGGACCAGUUUUUGUGCACUUACCUCGUUGGCAUGGUAAUAGUCUUUUGAAUAACCAAUACUGUGAACAAUUAUACAAUUAAAAAUUCUACUUCCAUUAUUAUUCUUAACUUCUCCCUUUAUAUUUUGUUACAGUUAUGAGGUAUGUUUUAUUAACUAUUCUAGACAUAGAUCUAGCCCUGCAUUUACUCAGCACUGCCUUGCUCCUUUUCAUGAGGGGUGAUCUAGUUAGACAUAUCAAUAUUCAAUGAAAUGUAUAGAUUACCCUGAUAAAAUGGCUCAAUGAAGUUCAUGUAAGGUCAAUGGAAGAUUGAGGCAUCAUAUGCACUGAGCCACUAAUUGGUCUCAUACUAGUAGGAUAUAGCUAUCCCCACCCCCUAUAUCUUGAGUCUCCUUCCUCUUAGGUGCUGAGCAUUUCCAAAGGCUUCUCUAGCUGAAGCAGGUAUAAGAAAAUGAAGUGACAUAAAGCAUCAACCCUUAGGUAUAAAUGAUUGGCAAGUCUCAACCUUGCUAAAACUGAGACUUUUCAAUUAGCUAUGCUUAAAAGUUUCUACUGAAUUACUGAAGCCAUAAUUAUGUAUGUAAUUCAAGUUUCCUUUGAGCUGACCUACAAUGAAAGAAGUUACCUAAAUGACCUCUUAGGUCCUUUUCUCUCUCCAGCAAUCAUGGAUACUUUACGAAUCUCAUAAGGAGUACAGCUCAUUUAUUAUUAACACCAUUUUAGAAUGAAGGAAGAAGAGGCUUAGAAAGGUUUAGUAGCAGAGAAGAGAGCAGCCUUCUGAUUUGUGGGUUCCACAUUCUGGAUGCAGAAAACUUUCAGUCAUUCUUAUCUAUUGUGAGGCUUGUACCAGUUUCUCCAUAAACUUACAAAACCAAACCAUUUUGACAAGCUUUGUUCCUGCCUCUGACUUCUUUCAGAUAGUGGCUAACCAUCUUCUCUUGAUGAGUCAUUUUUGCUCUUCCUCAUUCCCUUCUUGAUGUUCAAGUAGGUGAACGUGAUGACUAUAAAAGGCAAGCAAUUAAUAUCUGGGGUUAGGCAGAGCUCUGUAAGCCAAUCUCCAAGAAUGUGCAAGCUCCUUUGUCCUUAACUGUAACCUUGGCACAUGAAAAGCAACUUCCAUUCCGUUUUACCAACAUUUCGGUCAAAGAUCAAUUGCCAUUGUAAUUAUAUCAUAUAUCACAGGAUGGGGAAUCAGUGAGAGGGCAGGCCCUUUAAACUAAUACAUAUCAUUAGCAUUUAAAGAACAUGAAAAACAAAUUGAACAUUAGUCCUCAUGUAAGUCUUUUUUCUAGAGCAAAUAAUUUUCCAAAUUAAAAUGAAUAAAUUAAUGAAAUUGUCACAUGUCUGAGAAUAAACUAGGUUGGUAAUGCCGUCAAGCUCUUAGCAAAGUUUAGCUCAUUGUACUUCUCUGUCUGAUCAUUAUAACAUCUAAUCAAGGGGAGCUUAAAUACUUCAAUGAGCUCUCAAAAUAAAUUUGAUCUGAGCAGCUCAGGUCUCAUGGAUUCCUAGGGUUACUGACUGGGUGAAACAUGUUUUUGUUUUAAUCCCUGUCUCAGCUCAAAGAGGAUUAAUGCCCGUAAUUCUGCUAUCCCCAUUUAAUUGAGAAAUGAAAUUUGAAGAGGCACCUCCUGGAACACUCCACUUUGAAAUAUGACCCAUCCACUGUCUAUAUAAUAAAUCUUCCUCUGCUCUCACACACUUAUCCACAUCCUUCCUAUCCCAAAGAAGGAGGAAAGAAAGUUAUUGUGUGUGUGUGUGUGUGUGUGUGUGUGUGUGUGUUUCUGUGCAUCUAAUCCAAAACACACAAUGUUGUUGUUUUAUUUUUCAAUUUUGGAAUUAUCCUAAUAAAGGCAUUCUCUGGGAAGCUCAGACUGCAUCUCAAACCUUUCUCUGACACUAGCAUCCUCAUUGGAACAAAUAGCCCUUUCACUAAAAGCAAUACAGUUAUUGCAUUCAUGUUAUAUGAUGGUAAUUUUCACUUUUGCUUUCAAUACAACAUUAAAAGAAAAAUUGUCUAUAGGAAAGAAAGAGGCAAUAUACUAUAUCCUGGAACUAAUUCUUUGGCAUCUGUAAAAAAGGGGGCCAUAAUUCUGAAUAGAGGCUCCUGUCCUAAAACAGACCCAAUGCUAAGAUCUAAUAGAAAGGGCACAGAGAAGCAUAAGGAAACUUAAUGUCACUUUCACGUUUUUUGUACAAGUUGAUGUGAGGAUCUAAAGAGGCAAUUUCUGUAAAAUGCCUAGUAGAGGACCAGGCAUAUAGUAAGCCCUCAGCAAAUGCUGGCUGUUAUCAUUAUGUUUUAUAAAGAAUUUUUACAUCUUCCUCCUAAGCCCUGAGGCUUCAUAACGAAGCCUUAUAUAUGACUCUCAAUGGCUCAAUGUCUUUCCUAACCUAAUGUAGAAAGUGACAUACCAUUGCUUCCAACAUAACCUAUUGGUCACAUGGACCAACAUAAGACCAAUGUGGGAUGACCCUGUACAUAAGGGUAAGAAGCAGGCAUCACUUGGGGCCAUCUCAAAGGAAGGUGACCACAACUGCCUAAUGGCAGUUGAAUCCUUUAUCAAGCUACCCUCAGUAACACUUCAGCUUUCAAGGACCAGGUUUUUGUGACUAUUGUGAACAGGAUUUUAGUGAAUGAAGAUAUAUCCCAAAAUAACAUUUCACUUAAAAGUUGAAUAUCUGUUAUCAAUUUACAAAUGCUUUUAUGUUAUAUCUCACUUGAGCUUCAAAAUAACCUUUUAAGACAGACAAGAGUAGAAACUACUCCAGUGAUUUCAUAGAUAAGGAAACUGAAGAUCAGAGAGACUUAAUGAUUAACCUAAGAUUUAAACUAGAUAUCCUCCUAGCAUUCUCAUGGCACUUAUUCUGCUAGCGUAGGCUGCCUUGUAUAUUUUUUAAAUGACUAUCUGUUUAUGUGCUGGUCAUGGGGUUUGCAGCAAAUCACAAGUGUGUAAUUUUUUUUUCUUAAAGGCAUUUAAUCUACUUUCUAAAAAUCACUAGAAUUCAGAAACUGAUACUACUUCUUUUGUUUCAUUAUUUGCCUCCCUGCCCCCAACACUCAUACAUAUUUAGAGACACCCAUGGACACUCAUGAACACACAUAUUCUUCUUUCUAGUCCCUUAUCAAUGGCAAACUAAAGUUAUUUUAGAAUAUACUAGCUGUCAUUGUGCCACAGAGAAACCUCUCUUUCAUGCAAAUUGAUAUAUGUAUAUAAUCAUACAUGUUUAUAUAUAAACUUUGUAGCUUUCCUCCCUCUUUUCUAAAAUAAAUUAUGAAAGGUUGUAUGUUCAGGCUUCACGCAGAAUUUUUCAUUUGAGGGAGACUUUUUCAACCCUUUCUAUUUGAGUUGGUAGCCAUUUAUAUGAAGAGAAAAUGAAUACUAAUGGAAAAUCCUAGAGUGGAUUUGGAAAAUCAUUAUAACAGUUCUGCUAUAGGUUUGGGCCUUUGACAAACCACCUAUUCAAGGAUGAAAAAUCCACUAUUUCUCUUCUGCAUUUCUUUUUCCGAAUACAGCUAGAUUGAAUAACAGGCCAGAUAAAGGAUUCAGAACAAUUGCUUUACUAAGUAAUAGUGAGCCCAUGUUCUAACCAAUGGGACAGAAACUGACCCUCUGUAUCUCUGACACAGUUGCCUUUCAUUGACAGAUUUACAGUGGAGGGGUUGGGAGAGCAGAUGAAUUAAAAAAAAACAAAAGCAAAUCAAGAUCCCCCAUAAAUUUCACGAUCCCCACAUCUUCCACCUCAGCACCUAUUAGAACACCUUACUCUUAAAUUCUGCACAUGUGGAGAUUUAUUUGUAUCCCAGAGGUUUGCUCAGAUGUUUCCUCUGUGCUUUCAAUGCAGGCCCACCCUUUUCUUUCUUCAUAUUAAAACCAUAUAGAUUCUCCUUGAAGCCUUCUCAACUGGUAAUAAUCAUUUACAUCCUUGCUAGUGCUUAUGAUUUUCGAAUUACUUUUAGAUAAUCUAACUCAGCGAUCUCCACACAACCUUAGACACUUAGCCCGGCAAGUAUUGUGCUUUUGCUUUCAUGGAUGAGAAAAAGGAGACUUGGAGUGCUUUGAUUAGCAAACAAGGUUACAGAGCUAAAAAAGGAGUGACACUGGAGUAGAUCCCAGCUUAAAUGAAACCCACUGCUUUACCUGCCCCUAUAGCCUGCAUGAUAUUUCCCUAUUCUGAGUGCUUGGAGCUCUUGGAGUCUCUUACAUCUAAUGUGAUCAUUAAGAGGUACUAACUGUCUGAUUGCUUCUUGUGUGCAGCUAACUCACUGGUGACCCAGCACUUUGGGAGGAUGAGGAGGGUGGAUCACAAGGUCAGGAGUUCGAGACCAGCCUGGCCAACAUGAUGAAACCCCGUCUCUACUAAAAAUACAAAAAUUAGCCAGGCGUGGUGGCAUGCACCUGUAUUCCCAGCUACUUGGGACACUGAGGCAGGAGACUUGCUUGAACCCGGGAGGCAGAGGUUGCAGUGAGCCAAGAUCGUGCCACUGCACUCCAGCCUGGGCGACAGAGUGAGACUCCAUCUCAAAAAUAAGUAAAUGAAUAAAUAAAAAUAAAAUAGAUUGAGCCUCCACAUUUUGCAUGCAGCUUUCUUGGUGCUUGUCCUUCUCCUGUGCUUACUCAAAGAUGGGACAUUGUGCACAAUGAGAAGAGUAUUGGGACCAGUAAGGAAGAAUGAGUCAGAUAUUGUGGGACCUCUUUUUUUGUUGUUUUUUUUUGCUCCCAGAAAUCUUUGAGGUAAGUAACAUAGUCAAUUGAGGUCUGGAGUUAUGUACUCCAUUUAUUCAUUUUUUCUUAACAUAGUCCCUCCUUACUAUGUGAUAUUCUCUGUCCUAGACCUUGAAAAUACAAGUUAAAUAUGGCAUAUUCUUUACCUCUAUGAGCUUAAAAUUGAGUGGGGAAAGUUUCAUUUUUUCUUUGAAAUGAAAACAAACUUAAGUACCGAUAUGCAUGAGAAAAAUAAAUUGUUCAUUUCUUUACCUACAUCUCAUCAGGAGUAAACACAUUCUCUCUCUGGCUAAGCCAAAUAUACCAUAAAUCCCUCCUAAAAAAAUACCCUGAAAUUGAGAAUCCAAUUUUAAUGGCUAAAUUAUAUUUACCUUGAACUGAGCAUUUUCUAUUAGGAUUUACGUAUGCAUCUUGGGGAUUCUGAAUGUUGGACUUUUUUUUCUUUUUUCUUUUAGAUUUUAACCUGAAUGGAAAAGACAAUAUGAGGGUGAUGAAAGACUCUAGAUGGUCCGUCUUGGUUUGGAGAUCUUCCACCAAUAUGCCCAGUGGAUUCUCCCACCAGGGCCAGGUAACCUUCCUCACCAGAGGUGAGCAUCUUGGGAAAAAGUACAUCCUGUCUUUGCCCCCAGAGGUGACUUCAAAGAGCCAUGAGUGAUGAAAGACAGAUACCAACAAAUGAAAUUAGACUCUCUCUGACUAUCCUCAGAUCAGAAACUCUUGAGACAUGCAGCAUUUUGGGAGGACCAAGUAGGAGCCAGACAUGGAGAGAGAAGAGAGAGUGAAAGGAAGUAGCAUCAACAGCAGAACUAACUUAAACCUAAGAAUCAACUGACAAGAGAUUGAGCUGAUUAUUCAUCACCCUCAGGAACCUCAUUUAACCUUUCUGAGCUUCAUUGUAUUAACUUGUAAGUGAAGAUAAUAAUGAUAAUAUGUCCUACUUUACAAUUUUGAGGCUCUAUGGAGGGAAAAUCUGUGAAAGUUCCUGAUAACCAGGGAAAUCGAUUUACUAUACUUAUAUGUGUUCU